rnacentral:rRNA from 1 species
AUGCCGCGUGUAUGAAGAAGGCCUUCGGGUUGUAAAGUACUUUCAGCAGUGAGGAAGGUGGUAGUGUUAAUAGCACUAUCAUUUGACGUUAGCUGCAGAAGAAGCACCGGCUAACUCCGUGCCAGCAGCCGCGGUAAUACGGAGGGUGCGAGCGUUAAUCGGAAUUACUGGGCGUAAAGCGCAUGCAGGUGGUUUGUUAAGUCAGAUGUGAAAGCCCGGGGCUCAACCUCGGAAUAGCAUUUGAAACUGGCAGACUAGAGUACUGUAGAGGGGGGUAGAAUUUCAGGUGUAGCGGUGAAAUGCGUAGAGAUCUGAAGGAAUACCGGUGGCGAAGGCGGCCCCCUGGACAGAUACUGACACUCAGAUGCGAAAGCGUGGGGAGCAAACAGGAUUAGAUACCCUGGUAGUCCACGCCGUAAACGAUGUCUACUUGGAGGUUGUGGCCUUGAGCCGUGGCUUUCGGAGCUAACGCGUUAAGUAGA